rnacentral:rRNA from 1 species
AAACAUGUCUCGUUGAGAUAAGAAUAUAAUGAGUCAAGCCUGCCCAGUGAUUAAAUAUUAAACGGCCGCAGUACUCUGACUGUGCAAAGGUAGCAAAAUAAUUAGCCCCUUAAUUGGGGGCCGGAAUGAACGGUUCGACAAGAGCAAGACUGUCUCUAAUAAAUUAAAUGGAAUUUAAACUCUAUGUGAAGAUGCGUAGAUAAAAUUAAAAGACGAGAAGACCCUUUUGAGCUUGAAAGAUUAAUUAGAAUCAAAUUUUAUACUAAGAUUUCUUUUUGGUUGGGGCGACCCGGGAGCAUUUAAACCUCCUUACUUAUGAUCCAGUAUAACUGAUUAAUAGAAUAAGCUACCAUAGGGAUAACAGCGUAAUUUUCUUUUUAAAUUUUAUUUGAAAGAAAAGUUUGCGACCUCGAUGUUGGAUUAAAGUGUCCUAAAGAUUAAAUAUUUUUAAGGGUAAGUCUGUUCGACCUUAUUAAAACUUUACAUGAUCUGA